AGGAGAGAGGUAUAGAUAGAGGGAAAGAAGGUGUUGAUUUUUCUUGUUUAUGUCGUGUGUUUUCAAAUACAAUAUUACCUAAGGUGAUAUCAAAUGAACAACUAAUUAUCAUGGACGUUAAUCUGGAAAUUCAAACUCCAAGUGUAUGAUAUACAUCUUUUGCUUCUUUCUUAGA